rnacentral:tRNA from 1 species
GUUCAGGUAGCUUAGCUAAUUAGAGCAAAAUACUGAGAAUCUUUGUGUCAAUGGUUCAAAUCCACUUCUAAGCA